CACGUUGAAAACACCGGUUUCCGUAUGAUCACCGAAGUUAAGCAACGUUAAACCUGGUCAGUACCUGGAUGGUUGACCGCUUGGUAACACCAGGUGCUGCCA